AGCCGAUGCUUCUGAGAGCUCACAGUCUGAGGCAGAGGGAACAAAUGGGUGGUAGAUGAGGAUAAAGUUUGGACUGCAUUCAGUAAGGUUAUUUCCUGGCCUCCCUUCCAUGACCUAUGACCGAUGAUGACCUUUAGCUAGAGAAUGUGACAUUUUGUUCUCCUCUGGCUGACAUGUGAUGCCCUCAUUAUUCAAAGGUGUCUCACACUGACAGCUGCAAUUUUACUGUGCAGCACAGGGUGUCCACUCUCAUUACGUUUCAAGACGCAGGAAAUGCAACUCAAUAUCUGAAUGCAUAAGAAGGAAGGAGCCUUUUAGAGUUCAAGGAUUCAAGAAACCUGUUGACACCAGUACAUGCUGGUAUAUAAAAAAUCAAUUACAGACUUUUAUACUUACAUGUGCUGGCUUCCCAUCCCCCAAAAGCCCACAGUAAGGAGGUUCACAAAUGGGAAAUGAAGAACUGCCAGGCACUUGGAUCCUUAUUGUGAAGAUUGACUGAAGAGAAGAAUCCAAAACACAAGGUGCUGCAUAGAAACCUUUGAAUCAGAACAGCUCAUGCCAAUACAUCUUCAUAGCCAAUGCUGGGAAACAUCACCAAUUACUGUGGCUGUUUUCAGAGCACAAGAACAGAAUAUUUAAUUUUACCAGCCUCUAAGGACAGCAAAACUGAAUUUGAACUCUAGUUAAAGUUUUGCAGAUUACUCCUGACCUCUCUGGGACAAAGAGAUGAAUGUCACUGGAGUCAUGACUUUUUUCACAUUCUGCUUGUCUUUGUCAUUCUCCUAAUAAUGCAGAGGACUAGAAACAAGAGCUGGGUGGUGUUUUUUUCCUCCUGCCUGGAAAUCUAUUUAGAUUAGUCACCAGGUUUUCCAGUCUACGGUCAUUGAAGGUCAUUUGGUUUAUAGCUGAAAUUCUCAAUUGGAACCUCAUCUUGUAAUCAGAACUUAAAACCCAAGCAAGGUUUUGUAUCUCCUCUGAAAGGGUAGGUUGUUGUAUGAUUAGCUUCAGAAUGUUAAAUGGACUGUCUGUGUAAUGAUGGGUAAUUUUGGGGGGCUUAAAUUGCCGACGAGAAGACCUGUCUUGAAUAAUAAUACCAGGCUAUUUUAUAAAGAACAGUAUUCUAGGCCUCUCCUAAAUGCUAAUUCUAUUACACAUUAACAUUUCCUUUGCUGUAAAAUGGCAAAAGGCAAGCCAGCAAGAUGUAAAAAUCUUGCAAAGUGCAUUUUCACUUAUAGACUGCUCCUAAGAGCAGGCUGUUUCCUGAAAACGUCCCUUAAAUAAGCAUCCACUUACAGUGGUCAUCAUCAUACAGUCAGCAUCUGCUAAUAGCUGUUCCACAGCCUCGGCAAACACAGAAUAUUUGUUGUAAUCUACAGAGUGAUGGAAAUACCUGUGUAAUUUUUGCACUGUUUUGGUUUUUUUUUAAACUAUUCUUGGCCCUAAGUAUAAAGCAUCAGUCACACAGUGUAGAUGUACUCCUAGGGGCUGUUCAUAAAGCCUGGUGUCCUGUAUAUUUUCUGGUUCUCUACGACUAUUGGUGAGACUCUGAAAGCCCUUUUUAAUUUUUUGUUGAUUGAUUGAUUAUUUUAAUGUCUCUUUGGUCCAUGUGCAACUCAAACACAAAUAUUUACAUGUGUGCAUGUAUAUAUAAAAUUAAUUAAAACUGAAGGCUUCUUGAAGGAAACAAUCCACCCCUGCCAUGAUAUUGUUAUUGGGGAUAGUAUAUUUAGCUUUGUUAGGGGAAACAAAUUUUUGGCCAACAUCUCCUGAUGUACAAGUUGACCUUUGAUUUCUUCAUUUUUAUUACACUUUAGGUUCCCAGUUUCAGAGGCUAACCCAGCACCCAUAUGGAUGGCUUUAGCAUGUUCCACCUCUCUUUUUGCCCCAGUUGCUGCCUCCCUUUCUGUGUUUCCACACAGUUGACAUCCAUGCAGCUGCUUCGAUACAAGCAGGAGGUUAUCUUGCACAGGGAUGGGUGUCAGGGACAGCUUGAGGAGUGUCUCCAGUUGGAUAUUGUCCCACAGUCCCCCAGCAUCACCACCAUGACGUGUGAUGUCAGCUCAUUGCUUGUUCCAGCAGGCAUUAUUGUCACUCUUACUGGCAAGCUGGGCAUUUCCAGAACAUCUCUGUGGGCAGAUGGUGCCAUCCCCAACUUGGCUCCAUUUGUAAGGAGUCUGAAUCACCCUUUGGACACACCUUCUUGAUUCCUCUCUGGGCUUACAGGAGCUGACAUCACCCAGCUCUUAAUCUCUUCUCCAGAAGCACCAAACUCUAAUGCCAGAUUACCUUUCUCCUUUAUCUUCUUCAGCCACUCCCCAAACAGAACUCCUUUUAAGUGAUUACUUUCAUAUAUUCACUUUACAUGGAUUUUAAAAAGUUCCAUGGAUUUCCAAAUAGUUCACUCCAAUAGAUUCCAGCUCAGCAACUCCACCAGCUUCCCAGAGGUUGCAGAUACAACAAACAUGAAUAUACCCCUACUCUCCAUGGUUUUUAAAAUACUGGGUUCCAAAUUAUGCUGCUGUUGCUUCACAUCUCUCUGAUGCCAAGAUGAUGGAAAACUGCUGUAACAGAAUAACUGAAAAAAACCCCCAGCCACAUAAUGAAUCAAUACCACUCAGAGCUAUCUGAUUUUUACAGUUGUCAUUAGCCAAACUAGGCCCUGACUACUUUGGAGAACAAAAAGCAGAAAAGUUGUUAAACAAUUUUCUUUUACUCAAAUUCAUUUCAUGAGUCAGAUACAUCCCAAGGAUCUGGGCCUACAUUUCUAAAUUUGCUGAGGCCAGGCUGACUUUUCCAGCUAGCUUCCUUUCUCCACAGCUGAGAUCUCAGAAGAAAUAAAAAUCAGUGUAACUCAUGUUAAAAGGGCACCUUUUAACUCUAUGUACCCAGCCCCAUCAGCCUCCUGCCUCUCUCAGGCUGGCAACCAAAUACCAGCAUGUUGGAGAAUGCAUUUACUUUUUGAUGAAGUACAGACCUUAAAAAGCUAAGCUGGAUACAAAGUUCAUGACAGACAGCAAGGGCUUUUGCAGACAGAAAAGUGCAGCUGCAAAAAGAGCCUGCUCACAAUGAAUUGCAGGAAGGCCAUGGUUUGAGAUAUUUUACUUCUUAAUAGCAUAGGGUGGGAGUCUCCUGGAUGUAUGUGGACACCACACUGGCUCCAGGGGUCGUGUCUCCAGCAAUAGUGUAGGUGGCUGUGGGCUCCCUUCUAGCACACGAUUUAGUUGAUGUUCCUGAACCUAAUGAAUUUUGGCGGCGGGAAUGAUAAUAGCAGACAAUUGUUUGUCUCCAGUUGCUAAAUUUUGUUAGAGAGUUAAAAUAAACCUGUCUGUUUGACUAGUCUCAUGUGCAACAAAACAAAAAUAAGCCUUCACAAAGAAUCAUUUUCAAGCGCCAUUUUACUUUUUGUCUUAGGCUUGCAAAUGCCUUUCAUGUUUUCUGAUAUGUCAGAUAUCAUAAUGCAAAAUAAAUAACCAAGUGAAACACACAGACAUAUUCUCUGGGUGGCUUGUGAUGUAGAAAAAAGAGCCUUCUGCUGCUUCCCUUACCUCCUUCCUGGUCUUUCUUUUUUUUCUUUCUAAGGCUUGCAAUAGAUGCCUCUUUGUAGCAUGUACAUGAAACUGAUGUUAUUUUAAUACUGUACUGUUUCACAGCAUUUUAGAGCCCAGUCACAGCUCAGGACCCCCUCUGAGUUAGACAUCGUGCAGACAGAACAAAGUCAGCCCUGGCUCUGAGGAGAGCCCAUCUCACACUGCACCUCCCAUGGCCACAGGAGACUCACAUUGUAAAUGCUGAUGCAUUCAACACAUCUGCCACACAUGCAGAUCGUGGAGACAGUGACAUUGCCUGAGAUGCUGGGGGGUUUGCAGCAAUGCCUAUUGGUUGCUAAAUACAUCAUUCAAAUUGAGCCACUUUUUAAAAAAAGCUUAAACCUGGAGUUUGCCAUGCAAAUUCAGCUUUGGAGGAACAUGGGACUGGAGCAGGACUUGGUAGGUCAAAUAUUUAAAAGUCCUCCAGUCAUGUAGGAACUCAGAGCCUCAAUUUCAGAAGUGAAAUUGGAAUUUAAUUUCUAGGAACAAAGAACUUAGGACAUUUUUGCAAGGAGGGAUAGGCUCCCAUUUCACUUUUCAAAAUAUUACUCCUUCUGUUUAAAAAAUACCCUCCCACAUACAGACCCAUCCCUGACACUCCAGAACAGACAGAAAACAGCAAUAACUCUCUGCUGAUUAGACCAGCACAGUACCUGCCCACUAACAACAGCCAGACAAGAAAAAUCCCUGUUAUGGUCCUGCAACAGGACCUUUCUUCCUUUGUCAGUAAGUGAAUCACAAGUACAUUUUACUGCAGCCAAAUUAAAACCAAAAUCCUACCCUCCUUUGGUCCCUAUCUCUUUCACUGUAGCUUGACUUUACAUUGAAGCCAUCAAAUAAAACUUCAAAAUAGCAUAGGACCAAUGACUAUUUAGCAUCAGCUUGCACUUUUCCAUAAAAGCAAA